GGGGACCGGAAGCUGAGACCCAAGAUGAGACUAAGGAAGUUGCUGGGGAGCCAAAGUCAGCAGUGCCCGUUACCCAUCCCCUGUCGCUGCUCCGGGUCCUGCACGGUGUGGAAUCCUGUGCUGCAGAUCUGGGUGCGGACGGCACGGCGGGUGCCGCGGGGACCUGAAAACUCCGGAGCUGCAGUCUCCGCGCGUGCAGCCUGGGAAAGUCGCAGUCAGCAGCGCAGUGGCGGGAACCGCAGCCCGGCUGCCCUGGAACCUCCCAGGGCUCACUGAUCACCUAGACCUGCUCACCUGUGCAGCAGAACAAAGGGGCCUGGAAGGAGAGAGGAGACAGUGGCUAAGGAUGCAGCACUAGGAACUCACCUUCUGUGUCUGCUGGGAAGGAACCAUGGGCAACAACAGUACCCUUUGGUGUUUGGAAGUCUCUUGGACAACUGACAGUUUCAAAGCAGGCUUUCU